AAAUAGUCUGACCUGCCCACUGAGUUUUAAAGGGCUGCGGUAAUUUGACCGUGCAAAGGUAGCAUAAUCAAUAGUCUUUUAAUUGGAGGCUUGAAUGAAAGGUUUGACGGAGGGAAGGCUGUCUCUUUAAUUUUUAUUGAAUUUAACUUUUGUGUGAAAAGGCAUUAAUAGUUUGGAGGGACGAUAAGACCCUAUAAAAUUUUACAUAUUAUAUUAUUUAAUUAAAUUGUUAAGAUAAUUGUUAAGAUGAUUAGUUGUGUUUUGCUGGGGCGGCAUGAAUAUAAUUGUAACUGUUUAAAAUGAAAACUAUUUAUAAAUAAAAUAGUGGUCCUUUAUUAAGGAGAAAAGAGUAAAUUACUUUAGGGAUAACAGCAUAAUUUCUUUAGAGAGUUCUUAUCGAAGAAGUUAGUUGUGACCUCGAUGUUGAAUUAAAUUUUCCUUUAGGUGUAGGAGUUUAAAAGG
rnacentral:rRNA from 1 species